rnacentral:rRNA from 1 species
UACAGAGGCCUCGAGCGUUAGGCGGAAUCACUGGGCUUAAAGCGUGUGUAGGCGGACUUCUAAGUGCCUUGUGAAAUCCCACGGCUCACCCGUGGAACUGCUGGGCAUACUGGGAGUCUUGAGCCACCUAGGGGCGAGCGGAACAAAUGGUGGAGCGGUGAAAUGCGUAGAUAUCAUUUGGAACGCCAACGGAGAAAUCAGCUCGCUGGGGGUGUGCUGACGCUGAGACACGAAAGCCAGGGUAGCGAACGGG